rfam:Dipodomys ordii contig_46290, whole genome shotgun sequence.
GGGAAGAUGGCUCAGUGGUAGAGCGCUUGCCUUGCAUGCCUGAGGCCCUGGGUUC